AAAGUCGUAACAAGGUUUCCGUAGGUGAACCUGCGGAAGGAUCAUUACCUUUCAGUAUGGAGUUUAUAGUCCGCUAUAGCUCCUGUCUGUAUCCAUGUCUUUUGCGUACUACAUGUUUCCUCGGCGGGUCUGACCCGCCGAUUGGACAACUUUAAACUCUUUGCAAUUGCAAUCAGCGUCUGAAAAAAAUAAUAGUUACAACUUUCAACAACGGAUCUCUUGGUUCUG
rnacentral:misc_RNA from 1 species